GGCCGCUCGGCCCUGCGCCCGGGCACGGCGGCGGCGGCUCCGCUCGCCCCGGGAGGGAGCCCGCGGCCAGGGCUGGACUCUCGCCCCGCCACCUCCACCGACUCUCUCCUCAGCCUCCACACCUGGCACCCCAGCAAGGAUAAUUCACCUCCCACCAGUUCCACAUUUUGGCAACUUUAUCAUUUUGGACCAAUGUGCAUUUGACCUUUCCCCCGGCCGUUCUUCAUCUUGUGGAGAAGCUGAGGACGGGCUGAGGGAACCGGAGACCGAGAAGGCGCUGUCCUCUUCACUGCACACGCCCUGGACCAGUGCCGGCACUGAUCAUGCAGCUCUUCCAGGCCCACUGCUUCUUCCUGUCCACUAGGCCACAGCCGCCCUCCAGGCCCACUAUGCACACAUCUUCCCCUCCAAGGUUUGUUCUGCCCCUGCCCUGACUCCCAGCCCUGCGGGGGUCCUGACCCCACCUCACCUGGCUCAGACUCUGACGCUGCCCUGGCUGCCCUACCACUGCCUCUGCCCGAGAGUCACGUGAGGCUGACAGUAGGGGCAGGGGCAGCAGUGGUUCCAGUUGGGGGGCGGUCCAGUGGGAGGAGCCUCAGCCUCGCGGGCUGCUCUGUGGGAUUGAUGACUGCAUGAUCUUCUGGGCACCUCACGGAUCUUCAACUGCAGAUGAAAUGGAUGCUGGUGGUGGGUGCAGGGCCGCUAGGAGCUGCUGCAUGGGUCCCAGAGGCUGGACUGGGGCAGGUGCCAACUGAAGCUGCUGGGGCAGCAUGGGCAGGAUGUUCUGCACACAAACCUUGGAGAAGAAGAUGUGUGCAUAGCGGGUCCACUGCUGCUGCCCCUGCCCUGACUCCCAGCCCUGCCUGACCCCAUCUCACCCUGCUCAGGCUCUGGCGCAACCCUGGCUGCCCUGCCACUGCCUCUGCCCCAGAGUUGGGGCCUCGACAGCCUGGCUGGAAGGGGACACCCCAGC